UACGUAGGGUGCGAGCGUUAAUCGGAAUUACUGGGCGUAAAGCGUGCGCAGGCGGUUCGUUGUGUCGGCGGUGAAAGCCCCGGGCUUAACCUGGGAAUGGCCGUCGAAACUGGCGAACUGGAGUGUGGCAGAGGGGGGUGGAAUUCCGGGUGUAGCGGUGGAAUGCGUAGAGAUCCGGAAGAACACCAGUGGCGAAGGCGGCCCGCUGGGCAGUGGCUGACGCUGAGGCGCGACAGCGUGGGGAGCAAACAGG
rnacentral:rRNA from 1 species